UGGGGAAUAUUGCGCAAUGGGGGCAACCCUGACGCAGCGACGCCGCGUGUGUGAUGAAGGCCUUCGGGUCGUAAAGCACUGUCGAGUGGAAAGAGCGAAGUGCGGUCAAUACCCGCGCUGAUGACGGUACCACUUGAGGAAGCACCGGCUAACUCCGUGCCAGCAGCCGCGGUAAUACGGAGGGUGCAAGCGUUGUUCGGAAUCAUUGGGCGUAAAGGGCGCGUAGGCGGGUCGUUAAGUCCGACGUGAAAUCCCUCGGCUCAACUGAGGAAGUGCAUCGGAUACUGGCGGUCUUGAGUCCUGGAGAGGGUAGCGGAAUUCCCAGUGUAGAGGUGAAAUUCGUAGAUAUUGGGAGGAACACCGGUGGCGAAGGCGGCUACCUGGACAGUGACUGACGCUGAGGCGCGAAAGCAUGGGUAGCAAACAGG
rnacentral:rRNA from 1 species